CAACUUUCAACAACGGAUCUCUUGGUUCUGGCAUCGAUGAAGAACGCAGCGAAAUGCGAUAAGUAGUGUGAAUUGCAGAAUUCAGUGAAUCAUCGAAUCUUUGAACGCACAUUGCGCCCUUUGGUAUUCC
rnacentral:rRNA from 1 species